CAGCUUCUCCAGACGACCCAUCUUCAACCUAAGAAUAAAGCAGCACCUGACACCCAUAAAGCCCCUUCCCGUCGUUCUGCUUGUUUUCGAGCAAACGGACGACCUUCCUCACUCUCGAAUACUCUUUCUUUUCACCUAUCUUCAUUGGUCAAGGAUGGUAUCGAAAUCACCAGCGAAUGAUGGGUUCGUUUUUAGGUAAUCAUGAAAUUGUCGAGUCAAAGGAUGAACGUUCCAAGGGUUCGUCAAGCAUUUGAACCGGACAGAAACAGAGAAGUCAAAAUCAGAGUUUCCUAAAAGGACUGUUCUUCAUUUUCACCUUCCACUGAUUUUUAAAUUCUAAAUUAUCAAUUCGAAAGUAUAAACAACACCUGAUUCACCAGUUUCGAUUAGGGAUUUGGGUUUCGACUAUAGAGUUUGAGUGAGUCGAGUUUAUUGGGGGCAGUUUGCUGGUUGUUGUAGAUCAGAAAAAUGUUCCGUUCGAGGUUAUCGCCGGGCUGUGGUUGAGGUUCCUUCCUCCGAUCACGUAGCAUCCUCGCAAUUUUCUGAGAUAACAGAGGUCAAUUCUUUCUUCUCUUUCAAUGUUGUUUUGUAUUGGUUCUUAUACCCUGUUAGAAUGCAAUUUUGUGUAGAAUAUUGUUAUUUAUAAAAAUAUUGAGUUGAGGAGGAAACUUUGUAUUAACAUGUCUCUU
rnacentral:lncRNA from 1 species